UUGCGCGUCAGGCAGGCAGAUUCAAUUUUCUGCCACCGAAUACAUUAGCAUGGGAUAAUGGAAUAGGACCCUGUCCUCCUAUUUUCAGUUGGUUUUGGCAGCGCGAGGACUAGGGUAAUGAUUAAUAGGGAUAGUUGGGGGCAUUAAUAUUUAAUUGUCAGAGGUGAAAUUCUUGGAUUUAUGAAAGAUUAACUUCUGCGAAAGCAUCUGCCAAGGAUGUUUUCAUUAAUCAAGAACGAAAGUUAGGGGAUCGAAGACGAUCAGAUACCGUCGUAGUCUUAACCAUAAACGAUGCCGACCAGCGAUUAGGAGACGUUGAAUACAAAACACCACCAUCGGCGCGGUCGUCCUUGGCGCGUUCGUGUUCACGCACGAGCGCGCGAGGGCGGUUUAGCCCGGUGGCACCGGUGAAUGACUCCCCUAGCAGCUUUGUAAGAA
rnacentral:rRNA from 1 species